rnacentral:rRNA from 1 species
UACGUAGGCAGCAAGCGUUGUUCGGAGUUACUGGGCGUAAAGGGUGUGUAGGCGGUUCUUUAAGUUUGGUGUGAAAUCUCCCGGCUCAACCGGGAGGGUGCGCCGAAUACUGAGGGACUAGAGUGCGGGAGAGGAAAGUGGAAUUCCUGGUGUAGCGGUGAAAUGCGUAGAUAUCAGGAGGAACACCGGUGGUGUAGACGGCUUUCUGGACCGUAACUGACGCUGAAGCACGAAAGCGUGGGUAGCAAACAGG